rnacentral:rRNA from 1 species
GAGUUUGAUCUUGGCUCAGAGCGAACGCUGGCGGCAGACUUAACACAUGCAAGUCGAGCGGGCGUAGCAAUACGUCAGCGGCAGACGGGUGAGUAACGCGUGGGAACGUACCUUUUGGUUCGGAACAACACAGGGAAACUUGUGCUAAUACCGGAUAAGCCCUUACGGGGAAAGAUUUAUCGCCAAAAGAUCGGCCCGCGUCUGAUUAGCUAGUUGGUGAGGUAACGGCUCACCAAGGCGACGAUCAGUAGCUGGUCUGAGAGGAUGAUCAGCCACAUUGGGACUGAGACACGGCCCAAACUCCUACGGGAGGCAGCAGUGGGGAAUAUUGGACAAUGGGCGCAAGCCUGAUCCAGCCAUGCCGCGUGAGUGAUGAAGGCCCUAGGGUUGUAAAGCUCUUUUGUGCGGGAAGAUAAAUGACGGCACCGCAAGAAUAAGCCCCGGCUAACUCGUGCCAGCCGCGCCGU